GGGUUGUGAGGUUAAGCGACUAAGCGUACACGGUGGAUGCCCUGGCAGUCAGAGGCGAUGAAGGACGUGCUAAUCUGCGAUAAGCGUCGGUAAGGUGAUAUGAACCGUUAUAACCGGCGAUUUCCGAAUGGGGAAACCCAGUGUGUUUCGACACACUAUCAUUAACUGAAUCCAUAGGUUAAUGAGGCGAACCGGGGGAACUGAAACAUCUAAGUACCCCGAGGAAAAGAAAUCAACCGAGAUUCCCCCAGUAGCGGCGAGCGAACGGGGAGCAGCCCAGAGCCUGAAUCAGUGUGUGUGUUAGUGGAAGCGUCUGGAAAGGCGCGCGAUACAGGGUGACAGCCCCGUACACAAAAAUGCACAUGCUGUGAGCUCGAUGAGUAGGGCGGGACACGUGGUAUCCUGUCUGAAUAUGGGGGGACCAUCCUCCAAGGCUAAAUACUCCUGACUGACCGAUAGUGAACCAGUACCGUGAGGGAAAGGCGAAAAGAACCCCGGCGAGGGGAGUGAAAAAGAACCUGAAACCGUGUACGUACAAGCAGUGGGAGCACGCUUAGGCGUGUGACUGCGUACCUUUUGUAUAAUGGGUCAGCGACUUAUAUUCUGUAGCAAGGUUAACCGAAUAGGGGAGCCGAAGGGAAACCGAGUCUUAACUGGGCGUUAAGUUGCAGGGUAUAGACCCGAAACCCGGUGAUCUAGCCAUGGGCAGGUUGAAGGUUGGGUAACACUAACUGGAGGACCGAACCGACUAAUGUUGAAAAAUUAGCGGAUGACUUGUGGCUGGGGGUGAAAGGCCAAUCAAACCGGGAGAUAGCUGGUUCUCCCCGAAAGCUAUUUAGGUAGCGCCUCGUGAAUUCAUCUCCGGGGGUAGAGCACUGUUUCGGCAAGGGGGUCAUCCCGACUUACCAACCCGAUGCAAACUGCGAAUACCGGAGAAUGUUAUCACGGGAGACACACGGCGGGUGCUAACGUCCGUCGUGAAGAGGGAAACAACCCAGACCGCCAGCUAAGGUCCCAAAGUCAUGGUUAAGUGGGAAACGAUGUGGGAAGGCCCAGACAGCCAGGAUGUUGGCUUAGAAGCAGCCAUCAUUUAAAGAAAGCGUAAUAGCUCACUGGUCGAGUCGGCCUGCGCGGAAGAUGUAACGGGGCUAAACCAUGCACCGAAGCUGCGGCAGCGACGCUUAUGCGUUGUUGGGUAGGGGAGCGUUCUGUAAGCCUGCGAAGGUGUGCUGUGAGGCAUGCUGGAGGUAUCAGAAGUGCGAAUGCUGACAUAAGUAACGAUAAAGCGGGUGAAAAGCCCGCUCGCCGGAAGACCAAGGGUUCCUGUCCAACGUUAAUCGGGGCAGGGUGAGUCGACCCCUAAGGCGAGGCCGAAAGGCGUAGUCGAUGGGAAACAGGUUAAUAUUCCUGUACUUGGUGUUACUGCGAAGGGGGGACGGAGAAGGCUAUGUUGGCCGGGCGACGGUUGUCCCGGUUUAAGCGUGUAGGCUGGUUUUCCAGGCAAAUCCGGAAAAUCAAGGCUGAGGCGUGAUGACGAGGCACUACGGUGCUGAAGCAACAAAUGCCCUGCUUCCAGGAAAAGCCUCUAAGCAUCAGGUAACAUCAAAUCGUACCCCAAACCGACACAGGUGGUCAGGUAGAGAAUACCAAGGCGCUUGAGAGAACUCGGGUGAAGGAACUAGGCAAAAUGGUGCCGUAACUUCGGGAGAAGGCACGCUGAUAUGUAGGUGAGGUCCCUCGCGGAUGGAGCUGAAAUCAGUCGAAGAUACCAGCUGGCUGCAACUGUUUAUUAAAAACACAGCACUGUGCAAACACGAAAGUGGACGUAUACGGUGUGACGCCUGCCCGGUGCCGGAAGGUUAAUUGAUGGGGUUAGCGCAAGCGAAGCUCUUGAUCGAAGCCCCGGUAAACGGCGGCCGUAACUAUAACGGUCCUAAGGUAGCGAAAUUCCUUGUCGGGUAAGUUCCGACCUGCACGAAUGGCGUAAUGAUGGCCAGGCUGUCUCCACCCGAGACUCAGUGAAAUUGAACUCGCUGUGAAGAUGCAGUGUACCCGCGGCAAGACGGAAAGACCCCGUGAACCUUUACUAUAGCUUGACACUGAACAUUGAGCCUUGAUGUGUAGGAUAGGUGGGAGGCUUAGAAGUGUGGACGCCAGUCUGCAUGGAGCCGACCUUGAAAUACCACCCUUUAAUGUUUGAUGUUCUAACGUUGACCCGUAAUCCGGGUUGCGGACAGUGUCUGGUGGGUAGUUUGACUGGGGCGGUCUCCUCCUAAAGAGUAACGGAGGAGCACGAAGGUUGGCUAAUCCUGGUCGGACAUCAGGAGGUUAGUGCAAUGGCAUAAGCCAGCUUGACUGCGAGCGUGACGGCGCGAGCAGGUGCGAAAGCAGGUCAUAGUGAUCCGGUGGUUCUGAAUGGAAGGGCCAUCGCUCAACGGAUAAAAGGUACUCCGGGGAUAACAGGCUGAUACCGCCCAAGAGUUCAUAUCGACGGCGGUGUUUGGCACCUCGAUGUCGGCUCAUCACAUCCUGGGGCUGAAGUAGGUCCCAAGGGUAUGGCUGUUCGCCAUUUAAAGUGGUACGCGAGCUGGGUUUAGAACGUCGUGAGACAGUUCGGUCCCUAUCUGCCGUGGGCGCUGGAGAACUGAGGGGGGCUGCUCCUAGUACGAGAGGACCGGAGUGGACGCAUCACUGGUGUUCGGGUUGUCAUGCCAAUGGCACUGCCCGGUAGCUAAAUGCGGAAGAGAUAAGUGCUGAAAGCAUCUAAGCACGAAACUUGCCCCGAGAUGAGUUCUCCCUGACUCCUUGAGAGUCCUGAAGGAACGUUGAAGACGACGACGUUGAUAGGCCGGGUGUGUAAGCGCAGCGAUGCGUUGAGCUAACCGGUACUAAUGAACCGUGAGGCUUAACCUUACAACGCCGAAGCUGUU
rnacentral:rRNA from 1 species